GGAGAGAUGGCCUGUAUUGGUGAAAUUAGACAGUAGUUAGGGAGAGAUGGCCUGUAUUGGUGAUAUUAGACAGUAGUUAGGGAGAGAUGUCCUGUAUUGGUGAUAUUAGACAGUAGUUGGGGAGAGAUGUCCUGUAUUGAUGACAUUAGACAGUAGUUAGGGAGAGAUGGCCUGUAUUGAUGACAGUAGUUAGGGAGAGAUGUCCUGGGCCUCUGCUGUGCAGGUGGCAGC
rnacentral:lncRNA from 13 species